rnacentral:rRNA from 1 species
UACAGAGGGUGCAAGCGUUAAUCAGAAUUACUGGGCGUAAAGCGCGCGUAGGUGGUUUGUUAAGUUGGAUGUGAAAUCCCCGGGCUCAACCUGGGAACUGCAUUCAAAACUGACAAGCUAGAGUAUGGUAGAGGGUGGUGGAAUUUCCUGUGUAGCGGUGAAAUGCGUAGAUAUAGGAAGGAACAUCAGUGGCGAAAGCGACUUCCUGGACCAGUACCGACGUUCAGGCACGAAAGCGUGGGGAGCAAACAGG